rnacentral:rRNA from 1 species
UACGUAGGCAGCAAGCGUUGUUCGGAAUUACUGGGCGUAAAGGGCGCGUAGGUGGCGGGAUAAGCGUGUGGUGAAAGCCCGGGGCUCAACCCCGUGUCUGCCAUGCGGACUGUCUUGCUCGAGCGUAGUAGAGGCAGGUGGAAUUCCGGGUGUAGCGGUGGAAUGCGUAGAGAUCCGGAAGAACACCGGUGGCGAAGGCGGCCUGCUGGGCUACUGCUGACACUGAGGCGCGACAGCGUGGGGAGCAAACAGG